rnacentral:lncRNA from 1 species
UAAACGGAGCUUGCAGUGUCGAGUGCCUGUGGUUUAUUUUCAGACGACUGUAGUAGCCACCCGAGAGGCUUCCUUUGGGUUCUGCAGCCAGCUCUAUAAGACUGCACCACCUGUGGCACAAGAUGCAGCUGAGGAGCACUGGAGCUGGUGGAGAUCUAUGCACAUGAAAAGGAUUUUUCCUAAACAAGAUCUUCACAGAAAUGCUGUUUAACGAAUGUUUUAGGUGUCACCAUCACACACGAACCAGACCAAGUAUGUGGAUUCAGGACCAUGUCAUGACCCCAGAGGAGGAACGGGCCCAGCCUUGAGUUCCAGGAGACAGGACUCCAUGGGCAGCGGGCCCGGCACCACAGCCUGCAGCUGGCACCGUGUCACCAAGAGUGGAGCCCAGUGGCAGUCAUGUUCUCCGUCACUCAGAGCCUAGCCCAAGGCACCAAAGGCAGCUUGCAGAGGACACUGAGCAUGUGUGUUGGCCCAUGCAGUGGAGGGAAUCACCAAUCCAGGGCCACCGCCAUUUCUUCUCUGAGCAGAGAAAUAAUUACCAGGGAUCCUGUACUCACUCUUUCCAGAGCUUGUCUAGGUAAAGAUUCUACCUUGAUUAAAGACCACCAAGGAACAAGAGUAAAUGAGGAGGUCUGGGAUUUCAUCUCUGUGCCUGAAUUUCAUCCAUGUUGCCUUUCACAUCAGCAUCUCAGAUCUCGC